CAGUCGCCACGGGAAUACAGAGGGUGCGAGCGUUAAUCGGAUUUACUGGGCGUAAAGCGUGCGUAGGCGGCUUCUUAAGUCGGAUGUGAAAUCCCUGAGCUUAACUUAGGAAUUGCAUUCGAUACUGGGAAGCUAGAGUAUGGGAGAGGAUGGUAGAAUUCCAGGUGUAGCGGUGAAAUGCGUAGAGAUCUGGAGGAAUACCGAUGGCGAAGGCAGCCAUCUGGCCUAAUACUGACGCUGAGGUACGAAAGCAUGGGGAGCAAACAGGAUUAGAUACCCGGGUAGUCCAUGUCUCUUAUAA
rnacentral:rRNA from 1 species